rnacentral:rRNA from 1 species
GAUGAACGCUGGCGGCGUGCCUAAUACAUGCAAGUCGAACGGGGAGUAGCAAUACUCUUAGUGGCGAACGGGUGAGUAACGCGUUGGUACCUGCCCCGAAGCGGGGGAUAACGGACCGAAAGGUCCGCUAAUACCCCAUGUGCUCGGUAACGAGUAAAGGUGAAAACCACUUUGGGAGGGGCCUGCGUCCCAUCAGCUAGUUGGUAAGGUAACGGCUUACCAAGGCGAUGACGGGUAGGGGACCUGAGAGGGUGGCCCCCCACAAUGGAACUGAAACACGGUCCAUACACCUACGGGUGGCAGCAGUAGGGAAUAUUGGUAAUGGGCGCAAGCCUGAACCAGCAACGCCGCGUGUGCGAUGACGGCCUUCGGGUUGUAAAGCACUUUUGACUGGGACGAGGAAGGACGGUACCGGUCGAAUCAGCCUCGGCUAACUACG